rnacentral:rRNA from 1 species
UGGGGAAUAUUGCACAAUGGGCGCAAGCCUGAUGCAGCCAUGCCGCGUGUGUGAAGAAGGCCUUCGGGUUGUAAAGCACUUUCAGCGGGGAGGAAGGCGAUAAGGUUAAUAACCUUGUCGAUUGACGUGACCCGCAGAAGAAGCACCGGCUAACUCCGUGCCAGCAGCCGCGGUAAUACGGAGGGUGCAAGCGUUAAUCGGAAUUACUGGGCGUAAAGCGCACGCAGGCGGUCUGUCAAGUCGGAUGUGAAAUCCCCGGGCUCAACCUGGGAACUGCCUUCGAAACUGGCAGGCUAGAGUCUUGUAGAGGGGGGUAGAAUUCCAGGUGUAGCGAUGAAAUGCGUAGAGAUCUGGAGGAAUACCGGUGGCGAAGGCGGCCCCCUGGACAAAGACUGACGCUCAGGUGCGAAAGCGUGGGGAGCAAACAGG